AGGACGAACGCUGGCGGCGUGCUUAACACAUGCAAGUCGAGCGGUAAGGCCCUUUCGGGGGUACACGAGCGGCGAACGGGUGAGUAACACGUGAGCAAUCUGCCCUUCACUUCGGGAUAAGCCUCGGAAACGGGGUCUAAUACCGGAUAUGACUGCGCCAUGCAUGUGGUGUGGUGGAAAGUUCUGGCGGUGAGGGAUGAGCUCGCGGCCUAUCAGCUUGUUGGUGGGGUAAUGGCCUACCAAGGCUUCGACGGGUA
rnacentral:rRNA from 1 species